rnacentral:rRNA from 1 species
CAGUAGCCGCGGUAAUACGUAGGGUGCGAGCGUUAAUCGGAAUUACUGGGCGUAAAGCGUGCGCAGGCGGUUCGUUAAGACAGAUGUGAAAUCCCCGGGCUUAACCUGGGAACUGCAUUUGUGACUGGCGAGCUAGAGUAUGGCAGAGGGGGGUAGAAUUCCACGUGUAGCAGUGAAAUGCGUAGAUAUGCGGAGGGACACCGAUGGCGAAGGCAGCCCCCUGGGCCAAUACUGACGCUCAUGCACGAAAGCGUGGGGAGCAAACAGGAUUAGAUACCCCGGUAGUCCCUGUCUCUUAUAC